rnacentral:misc_RNA from 1 species
UAAACCCUAAGUGACGUUUCAAUAGGAAUUCCCCUUUGACUAACAAACACUAAAUAAUGUUCCCAAAUCCUAUCAUGUUGAGUAACAGGUAAUGCACACAAUGCUCUAUCGAAAGUGCGUCUAGUUCGAGUAACGAGCUUCUGUUGAGUUAAACUCACCAAGUACAUGAUCCAAAUCUUUGGCAUUUUGUGCAUUGUAACAAGCGCUCUCUCGAAAGUGUUGUUUAGAGCUUGAUACAGCGAGUGGUUGAUUGGAAGAUUCCGAACUAGCUCUAGACGUUCGCGGAGAUACGCGUGCCAUAUUUUGUAGCUUCCGGGGAGAGCUUGUAGAGCUCGUUCGUAAAGCACUCUUCGUUUUGUAAAUGGCGCAUCUGCUCGUGCCACUAGAUAGCGCCACCACUGCUUAAGACUGAACGGAUUUCUG